GGGGCUGGCCUGAGAGUAGGGAUCAGAGAAAAAAAACGUAUAUUUUUCUCUCAUCUUUGGGAUUUUAAAUCCCCUGGUCUCCUGGAACGACAGAAGGGCUCUCCCUACAAGAUUUCCUUCUCUUCCUGCUCUGCAGUUCUUCAGUUCAGACCACACUCAGGUGAAACAAAGCCAGACAUGACUGUUCCUUUUCUUCCUGAGGUGAUUUUCUUUGUAUCUACUGGCCAGCAAUGUCUAUCAAAGGACUACUCUUAGUGCAACAUCUUGAGGUUAUUGUAGUUGUUUAACCGCCCAUGGAAAGCUCCUUACACAGAGGGAGAGACAGAACCUGAGCAGGGAAAGGGCAGAGAGAGGGAGACAC